rnacentral:rRNA from 1 species
UACGUAGGGUGCGAGCGUUAAUCGGAAUUACUGGGCGUAAAGUGUGCGCAGGCGGCCGCGCAAGUCGAGUGUGAAAGCCCCGAGCUUAACUUGGGAAUUGCGCUCGAAACUACGUGGCUGGAGUGUGGCAGAGGAAGGUGGAAUUCCACGUGUAGCGGUGAAAUGCGUAGAUAUCGGAAGGAACAUCAGUGGCGAAAGCGACUUCCUGGACCAAUACUGACGCUCAUGUGCGAAAGCGUGGGGAGCAAACAGGG